AUUUUUGGACAAUGGGCGCAAGCCUGAUCCAGCAAUGCCGCGUGCAGGAAGAAGGCCUUCGGGUUGUAAACUGCUUUUGUCAGGGAAGAAAUCUUCUGGGCUAAUACCCCGGGAGGAUGACGGUACCUGAAGAAUAAGCACCGGCUAACUACGUGCCAGCAGCCGCGGUAAUACGUAGGGUGCGAGCGUUAAUCGGAAUUACUGGGCGUAAAGCGUGCGCAGGCGGCUUUGCAAGACAGAUGUGAAAUCCCCGGGCUCAACCUGGGAACUGCAUUUGUGACUGCAAGGCUAGAGUACGGCAGAGGGGGAUGGAAUUCCGCGUGUAGCAGUGAAAUGCGUAGAUAUGCGGAGGAACACCAAUGGCGAAGGCAAUCCCCUGGGCCUGUACUGACGCUCAUGCACGAAAGCGUGGGGAGCAAACAGGAUUAGAUACCCUGGUAGUCCACGCCCUAAACGUUGUCAACUGGUUGUUGGACGGCUUGCUGUUCAGUAACGAAGCUAACGCGUGAAGUGACCGCCUG
rnacentral:rRNA from 1 species